rnacentral:tRNA from 1 species
GCCGAUGUGGUGAAAUUGGUAGACACGACGGAUUCAAAAUCCGUUUCCUUUGGGAGUGACGGUUCAAGUCCGUCCAUCGGUACCA